UGGGGAAUAUUGGACAAUGGGCGAAAGCCUGAUCCAGCCAUGCCGCGUGUGUGAAGAAGGUCUUCGGAUUGUAAAGCACUUUAAGUUGGGAGGAAGGGCAGUAAGCGAAUACCUUGCUGUUUUGACGUUACCGACAGAAUAAGCACCGGCUAACUCUGUGCCAGCAGCCGCGGUAAUACAGAGGGUGCAAGCGUUAAUCGGAAUUACUGGGCGUAAAGCGCGCGUAGGUGGUUCGUUAAGUUGAAUGUGAAAGCCCCGGGCUCAACCUGGGAACUGCAGCCAAAACUGGCGGGCUAGAGUAGGGCAGAGGGUGGUGGAAUUUCCUGUGUAGCGGUGAAAUGCGUAGAUAUAGGAAGGAACACCAGUGGCGAAGGCGACCACCUGGGCUCAUACUGACACUGAGGUGCGAAAGCGUGGGGAGCAAACAGG
rnacentral:rRNA from 1 species